rnacentral:rRNA from 1 species
UACGAAGGGGGCUAGCGUUGCUCGGAAUCACUGGGCGUAAAGGGUGCGUAGGCGGGUUCUUAAGUUAGAGGUGAAAGCCUGGAGCUCAACUCCAGAACUGCCUUUAAUACUGGGAAUCUUGAGUUCGGAAGAGGUGAGUGGAACUGCGAGUGUAGAGGUGAAAUUCGUAGAUAUUCGCAAGAACACCAGUGGCGAAGGCGGCUCACUGGUCCGAUACUGACGCUGAGGCACGAAAGCGUGGGGAG